rnacentral:rRNA from 1 species
AGAGUUUGAUUAUGGCUCAGGAUGAACGCUGGCGGCGUGCCUAACACAUGCAAGUCGAGCGAUUCUCUUCGGAGAAGAGCGGCGGACGGGUGAGUAACGCGUGGGUAACCUGCCUCAUACACAUGGAUAACAUACCGAAAGGUAUGCUAAUACAGGAUAACAUAAGAGAUUCACAUGGAUUUCUUAUCAAAGCUCCGGCGGUAUGAGAUGGACCCGCGUCUGAUUAGCUAGUUGGUAAGGUAACGGCUUACCAAGGCGACGAUCAGUAGCCGACCUGAGAGGGUGAUCGGCCACAUUGGAACUGAGACACGGUCCAAACUCCUACGGGAGGCAGCAGUGGGGAAUAUUGCACAAUGGGCGAAAGCCUGAUGCCAGCAACGCCGCGUGAGUGAUGAAGGCCUUCGGGUCGUAAAACUCUGUCCUCAAGGAAGAUAAUGACGGUACUUGAGGAGGAAGCCCCGGCUAACUACGUGCCAGCAGCGGC